AUUGGGCGUAAAGGGCUCGUAGGUGGUUGAUCGCGUCGGAAGUGUAAUCUUGGGGCUUAACCCUGAGCGUGCUUUCGAUACGGGUUGACUUGAGGAAGGUAGGGGAGAAUGGAAUUCCUGGUGGAGCGGUGGAAUGCGCAGAUAUCAGGAGGAACACCAGUGGCGAAGGCGGUUCUCUGGGCCUUUCCUGACGCUGAGGAGCGAAAGCGUGGGGAGCGAACAGGCUUAGAUACCCUGGUAGUCCACGCUGUAAACGGUGGGUACUAGGUGUGGGGUCCAUUCCACGGGUUCCGUGCCGUAGCUAACGCUUUAAGUACCCCGCCUGGGGAGUACGGCCGCAAGGCUAAAACUCAAAGGAAUUGACGGGGCCCCGCACAAGCGGCGGAGCAUGCGGAUUAAUUCGAUGCAACGCGUAGAACCUUACCUGGGUUUGACAUGGAUCGGGAGUGCUCAGAGAUGGGUGUGCCUCUUUUGGGGUCGGUUCACAGGUGGUGCAUGGCUGUCGUCAGCUCGUGUCGUGAGAUGUUGGGUUAAGUCCCGCAACGAGCGCAACCCUUGUUCACUGUUGCCAGCACGUUAUGGUGGGGACUCAGUGGAGACCGCCGGGGUCAACUCGGAGGAAGGUGGGGAUGACGUCAAGUCAUCAUGCCCCUUAUGUCCAGGGCUUCACGCAUGCUACAAUGGCUGGUACAGAGAGUGGCGAGCCUGUAAGGGUGAGCGAAUCUCGGAAAGCCGGUCUCAGUUCGGAUUGGGGUCUGCAACUCGACCUCAUGAAGUCGGAGUCGCUAGUAAUCGCAGAUCAGCAACGCUGCGGUGAAUACGUUCCCGGGGCU
rnacentral:rRNA from 1 species